rnacentral:rRNA from 1 species
GACGUAGGGCGCGAGCGUUGUCCGGAUUUAUUGGGCGUAAAGGGCGCGUAGGCGGCGCAACAAGUCACUUGUGAAAUCUCCGGGCUUAACCCGGAACGGUCAAGUGAAACUGUCGUGCUAGAGUACAGAAGGGGCAACUGGAAUUCUCGGUGUAGCGGUGAAAUGCGUAGAUAUCGGGAGGAACACCGGUGGCGAAGGCGGUUCUCUGGGCCUUACCUGACGCUGAGGAGCGAAAGCGUGGGGAGCGAACAGG